rnacentral:rRNA from 1 species
GUAGGGAAUAUUGCGCAAUGGACGAAAGUCUGACGCAGCGACGCCGCGUGAGUGAUGAAGGCCUUAGGGUCGUAAAGCUCUGUUGAAUGGGAAGAAAAAAAUGACGGUACCAUUCGAGGAAGGACCGGCUAACUUCGUGCCAGCAGCCGCGGUAAUACGAGGGGUCCUAGCGUUGUUCGGAAUCAUUGGGCGUAAAGGGUGUGUAGGUGGCCAUGUAAGUCAGGUGUGAAAGCCCCGGGCUCAACCCGGGAAGUGCACUUGAUACUGCGUGGCUUGAGUACCGAAGAGGGUAGUGGAAUUCCAGGUGUAGUGGUGAAAUACGUAGAUAUCUGGAGGAACACCGGUGGCGAAGGCGGCUACCUGGCCGAGUACUGACACUGAGACACGAAAGCAUGGGGAUCAAACAGGAUUAGAUACCCCAGUAGUCC